rnacentral:rRNA from 1 species
CCCUUAGAUGUUCUGGGCCGCACGCGCGCUACACUGUUCGACGCAGCGAGUCUUAACCUUGACCGAAAGGUUUGGGUAAUCUUCAGCAAUGUCGAACGUGAUGGGGAUCGAUCAUUGCAAUUAUUGAUCGUGAACGAGGAAUUCCUAGUAAGUGCAAGUCAUCAGCUUGCGCUGAUUACGUCCCUGCCCUUUGUACACACCGCCCGUCGCUACUACCGAUUGAAUGGUUUAGUGAGAUCUCUGGAUUGACGCUGGCUAGGGGGCGACCCUUGGCCAGACUGUUGAGAAACUGCUCAAACUUGAUCAUUUAGAGGAAGUAAAAGUCGUAACA